rnacentral:lncRNA from 13 species
CAAGCGUCCUGCCAUCCAGGACCUCUAUACCAGGCUGUGUCAGAGGAAGGCCCUAAAAAUUGUCAAAGACUCCAGCAACCCUAGUCAUAGACUGUUCUCUCUGCUACUGCACGGCAAGCGGUACCGGAGCGCCAAGUCUAGGUCACCGAGGCUUCAAAACAGCUUCUACCUUCAAGCCAUAAGACUCCUGAACAGCUAAUCAAGUGGCUACCCAAACUUUUGCAUUACACCCCCCCACCCCCCCAUAUACGCUGCUGCUAUUCUCUGUUAUUAUCUAUGCAUAGCCACUUUAAUAACUCUACCUACAUGUACAUAAUUACAUAAAUGACCUCGACACCGGUGCCCCUGCACAUUGACACACUGACUCUGUACGGGUACCCCCUGUAUAUAGCCCCGCUAUUGUUAUUUACUGCUGCUCUUUAAUUAUUUGUUAUACUUAUCUCUUCAUUUUUUUGUAUUUUCUUAAAACUGGAUUGUUGGUUAAGGGCUUGUAAGUAAGCAUUUCACUGUACGGUCUACACCGGUUUUAUUCGGUGCGUGUGACAAAUACAAUUUGAUUUGUUCAGUUGCUUCAACCUGUUUCCAAAAAAUGGCUGUCCUGCAUUAGCUGGUUAAAGUGAGAAUCAUGUCAACACUGCAGGGCAGGCUGUGGAACGCUUGUGCGAUGCUGAGCUGUGAUUGGCCGUUGCUAUAACAAUGAGGGCGGGGUAAAUGCGGUAGGGGGCGGAGAGAGAGAUUGACGAUAACACUCUUCUGUAGCGUUCCCUCUCUUCUCAUAAUCUCGAGUUAGCUUCUGUUUUUUUCUGUUUAUUAUUUUUCAGUCAGCAGGUCAUUGCAUGCAGGCGGACGGAGUGGCUGAGUCCUGCGCUGUCAGAGGGGGAGAUUGGAGUGGUUGUCUCUUGCUACUACGCUCUCUCUAUUUCUCUCUCUUGCUUGUGUUCUGCCUGCUACCAUCGGAAUAACAUUCCUGCAGCUCUGGAUUAUCUGCCUAAAACACAGAAUUACACUUUUACACACACCUGGGAAAUCUCUGGAUACCGUAAACAGAAGGAGAGAGGCUUCUGUUUCCCUUCGCGGGCGACCUCUUCUCCCCUCACACUUCGUUCAACACAGCCAAGGUCGACAUCUGAUGUUCCAGGUACAAUCACAUCACAUGCACCUGCAUGAGCACAUUAACAAGCAUACACACACACACACACACUUCUUUUUUUACAAUAUACACUUGCAAACACUGAGUGCACACAAAGACUUUGUAAUUACAAGCACAAUGUCAUAUUAUGACUAUAACCAAAAGGAAAAUGACCAAACAAGAUAAGAAUGCAUAACAUAAAUGUCCUAUUACAUAAAGCUGCAUGGCCAAGCCUGGAACACAAUGGAGCACUCUAAUGUUGACCCAGCAGAGUGAGAUAUUUGUUUUUCACUUAGGCCCAUGAUGUACAGUCGGCCUUCUGU